UUGUCACUGGCAAAGCAAUAUGAGAGACAGCCCCAGCUGGAGAGUUACGGGGGCACAGUGGUCCCACAGUUCCAGGUUGUACCCCGGGAAUCCUGUCACAGAUUUGCAAAUUUCUUCAGUCUAAAUCAAAUCUUAGAGUCUCAUCUACACAUCUCCUCCUAUAUAAAGUUUCUGAACACUUCCCCUCCCAUUCACAACUGUAUACUCUUGAUACCCGGAAGGCUCUAAAAAUCAAUAUUGAAUGCAGGGAACACUUCAGAAAAUAUCUAGCUCUAUUGGUUAUAAUCCAUAUAAUAUUUUAAAAAUACUGCUGUUAUAGCUUCAGUUAUUAGAUAACUAAACUGGUACAUUUCAGAAACUUUUGAAGAUAGAAGUUGUUUUCCCCUCAGAUGUUCACACUUUUUUAUUCAGAGCCAGAGACUACAAAGAUGUUGCAUGAAGAAAACAGAAAACAGCACAAGGAACCAGCAAAAAAGCUCUCAGCCUUUCCAGACUACUGUACUCCUUUCAGGAGUCUGAUUUCUCUUGCGUACCCUCAAGUUUCACCUCACUUAAAAAUUACUUGCUUACAAAAGCAUAUACAAAGAACUGUCACAGCACACUAUUACUGAAAAAUUGCUUACUUUCUCAUAUUUACCAUUCAAUUACAAAAUAAAUCAAUAGGAAUAUAAAUAUUGUACAUACAUUUGAGUGUAUACUAUACAGAGCCAUAUAAACAAGUAAUUGUCUAUAUGAAAUUUUAGUUUGUGCUGACUUUGCUAGUGCUUUUUAUGUAGCCUGUUGUAAAACUAGGCAAAUAUCUAGAUAAGUUGAUGUACCCCCUGGAAGACCUCUGCAUACCCCUGGUUGAGAACCACUGACUUAAGGAAAUGGAGGCUCAGGUGACCUUCAGUGGGAUUCUACUUGUCCCUAGGAGGAGGAGAACGAAGGCAAAAAUUAAGGGAAUUUAGUUAGGAAAGUGGACUGGAUUGAAGAACAUAUACACCAGGCCCUUUAAGAUACCUGUUUGUGGAAUACUUUCUCAUGGUUAAAAAGUGUAAACAUCUGACUAUCCCAUUUUAAUUAGUACUUCUCACAUAUUAAGUUGUUAGACAAUUUUUCUGAACUUGGGUGCAAAAUAUUUUCCUUGAAAGUAGAUUCUUCUUGUAGAGGAGACAGAACUGAGUGGUGUGUGCCACCUGAUUAGAUACAAGAACCAGGACCUCCCUGGACAAUGUGGGACCACCUAGAUCACUUGUGCCCCUUUUUUAUUGUCCUGGAGAACACCGUGAACAGAAAAGGACAGCUGUGCUCUUGGCCAUUAGAGGAAAUGCAUGACUGUAGCUACGGAUACUGUAUGACAUCACUGAUACAUCUUGGCUGACCAGGACUGGAGGUUUAGCUCUUAGGACCUAUUUAAUCACACUAAUCUUUUGUCAUUAACCUUGGAUUAAGUUGUUCCAUGAAUGAUCCUCCCUGUUCUUGAAGCUGGCAUCAAUUUUUUGCACUAACCCUGAUUCCAGCGAACUGUGGCCUUCUGAGUUUCCCCAGGCAACAGCACAAAGGAGGACAGGGAUGAUGGGCCCUGAGACAUUAAGCAUCUUCUGGAGAAGACAACUGGAAUGUCUCACAAUGAAGAACUUGUUAAGCCUCCCUGCCGUUGAUGGAGCCAGUUCAAGCUGACUUGCAGGGUCUUCAGGGGUGUGGCCAUCCCCAUCCUGCCUUGAUUGACAGGUCUGGCUCUGCCUCCAAGUAACCACAGGUAGAAGUAAGACCCAUUGUAACAGAUAUGCCGAUUUUCUCAGAAAAAAUAAUGUAUAUUUUAGGUGUUUUUAAUGCAAUAAAUAGAUGUUUUUGAAAAGUCCAUCAUAGCAGACCAGAUCCAUAGCUGGUAUAAAUCAGUGCAGCUCCAUUGAAGUCACUGGAGCUAUGCUGAUUUAUACCAGGUAAGAAUCUGGCCCACUGUCUCUAUUUUCACUCUGAAUUUAGUCUCCCCUUCUCCAUCUAUUUCUCUCAGCUGACACCAAGGACAAGAGCCAUCAUUACUGACCAGCCAACUCUGGGGACCACUUGUAAUCCAUGACUAUAGUUUGGGAAUCUUCACUAUAGUCUGUCAAAAACAUGAGAAGUCCUUUAGACAGACAGACACACAAUGCAAUUGCUGAAAUUGGAAUUUAGCCAGAAAACCAUGAGCUAACAUCCCUAACUCUUGGAAGAAUGCCAGGAGUAUCUUGCCAUCUGAUUAUGACCACAGGUGGUUAGGAUCUUGGUUUUAUGCAGAAGACACAUGACACCUCCAAUAGCACAGAGCAGGGGUGGGCAACUAUGGCCCGCGGGCUGCAUCAAGCCCGUCAGACCUUUUCAUCUGGCCCUCAAGCUCCAUUGCUCUUCUCCAGGACUCUGGCUGGGAAGAGGGUUGGGGGCUUGCCCUGCUCCGGCUGGGAAGCAGGGUCGGGGGCUUGCCCCGCUCUGGCUGAGGUCAGGGGCUUGUGUGAUGGGCGUGAGGGCACACGUUACUCCGGCUGCACAACCCAAACGUGCCUCACGUGCCAUCAGAGCCUGGAACGUGCAAGCCCACUUGCCUGUUACUUGUUUGCUUAGGUGACUCUGAUGUUUUAGUAGUGUUAGUUUUCCAUUGUUGAAGAUAAAACAAAGAGUAGUUGGCCAGGGAGUGGUCAGUGACAGUUUUCAAAGUUGUGGGCUGUCAGGACCUACAUGGGAGGAGAUUUCUGAGAGCAGGGGGCUGGUGAAUCUCAAUUAAUUCCAAUGACUGGAAGCUGACGCCCAACAAAUCCAGGCUAGAGAGAAAGGGGGUAGAAAGAGGGUAAGUUUGGUUUAAUUAUUGUAAUACAUUGUUAUGAUGGUAUAUUUAUAAUAGUAAGUAAGAUUUUGUUUAUUUCCACUAAAAUGUAUCUUUAUUAAAGUUUAUUUGAAUA